UUUUGACUUUUCGUCUUGAUGAUCACUUUGGGCAAGGAUAGUAAUAAGUUGUGCGAUAGCACUAGGAGGCAACAAAAAUGGAACAAGGUACAGUGAAAUGGUUUAAUGCAGAAAAAGGUUUCGGCUUCAUCGAACGUGAAAAUGGAGACGACGUAUUCGUACACUUCUCUGCUAUCCAAAGUGAAGGCUUCAAGUCUUUAGAUGAAGGUCAAAAAGUAACGUUUGACGUUGAGCAAGGUGCUCGUGGAGCUCAAGCUGCUAACGUUCAAAAAGCAUAAUACAAACAGGCUCUUUAAAUAGAGCCUGUUUUUU
rnacentral:sRNA from 1 species